rnacentral:rRNA from 1 species
UACGUAGGGUGCAAGCGUUGUUCGGAAUUACUGGGCGUAAAGCGUGCGCAGGCGGUGAUGUAAGACAGGUGUGAAAUCCCCGGGCUUAACCUGGGAACUGCAUUUGUGACUGCAUCGCUGGAGUGCGGCAGAGGGGGAUGGAAUUCCGCGUGUAGCAGUGAAAUGCGUAGAUAUGCGGAGGAACACCGAUGGCGAAGGCAAUCCCCUGGGCCUGCACUGACGCUCAUGCACGAAAGCGUGGGGAGCGAACAGG